rnacentral:tRNA from 1 species
GGCAGUGGGGUUCAGUGGUUUGAAGUGUUGGAUUACAACUCUGGAGAUCAGGGUUUGAAUCCUUGCUUAGCCA